rnacentral:rRNA from 1 species
GACCGAACCGACUAAUGUUGAAAAAUUAGCGGAUGACUUGUGGCUGGGGGUGAAAGGCCAAUCAAACCGGGAGAUAGCUGGUUCUCCCCGAAAGCUAUUUAGGUAGCGCCUCGUGAAUUCAUCUCCGGGGGUAGAGCACUGUUUCGGCAAGGGGGUCAUCCCGACUUACCAACCCGAUGCAAACUGCGAAUACCGGAGAAUGUUAUCACGGGAGACACACGGCGGGUGCUAACGUCCGUCGUGAAGAGGGAAACAACCCAGACCGCCAGCUAAGGUCCCAAAGUCAUGGUUAAGUGGGAAACGAUGUGGGAAGGCCCAGACAGCCAGGAUGUUGGCUUAGAAGCAGCCAUCAUUUAAAGAAAGCGUAAUAGCUCACUGGUCGAGUCGGCCUGCGCGGAAGAUGUAACGGGGCUAAACCAUGCACCGAAGCUGCGGCAGCGACACUGUGUGUUGUUGGGUAGGGGAGCGUUCUGUAAGCCUGUGAAGGUGUGCUGUGAGGCAUGCUGGAGGUAUCAGAAGUGCGAAUGCUGACAUAAGUAACGAUAAAGCGGGUGAAAAGCCCGCUCGCCGGAAGACCAAGGGUUCCUGUCCAACGUUAAUCGGGGCAGGGUGAGUCGACCCCUAAGGCGAGGCCGAAAGGCGUAGUCGAUGGGAAACAGGUUAAUAUUCCUGUACUUGGUGUUACUGCGAAGGGGGGACGGAGAAGGCUAUGUUGGCCGGGCGACGGUUGUCCCGGUUUAAGCGUGUAGGCUGGUUUUCCAGGCAAAUCCGGAAAAUCAAGGCUGAGGCGUGAUGACGAGGCACUACGGUGCUGAAGCAACAAAUGCCCUGCUUCCAGGAAAAGCCUCUAAGCAUCAGGUAACAUCAAAUCGUACCCCAAACCGACACAGGUGGUCAGGUAGAGAAUACCAAGGCGCUUGAGAGAACUCGGGUGAAGGAACUAGGCAAAAUGGUGCCGUAACUUCGGGAGAAGGCACGCUGAUAUGUAGGUGAAGUCCCUCGCGGAUGGAGCUGAAAUCAGUCGAAGAUACCAGCUGGCUGCAACUGUUUAUUAAAAACACAGCACUGUGCAAACACGAAAGUGGACGUAUACGGUGUGACGCCUGCCCGGUGCCGGAAGGUUAAUUGAUGGGGUCAGCGCAAGCGAAGCUCUUGAUCGAAGCCCCGGUAAACGGCGGCCGUAACUAUAACGGUCCUAAGGUAGCGAAAUUCCUUGUCGGGUAAGUUCCGACCUGCACGAAUGGCGUAAUGAUGGCCAGGCUGUCUCCACCCGAGACUCAGUGAAAUUGAACUCGCUGUGAAGAUGCAGUGUACCCGCGGCAAGACGGAAAGACCCCGUGAACCUUUACUAUAGCUUGACACUGAACAUUGAGCCUUGAUGUGUAGGAUAGGUGGGAGGCUUUGAAGUGUGGACGCCAGUCUGCAUGGAGCCGACCUUGAAAUACCACCCUUUAAUGUUUGAUGUUCUAACGUGGACCCGUGAUCCGGGUUGCGGACAGUGUCUGGUGGGUAGUUUGACUGGGGCGGUCUCCUCCUAAAGAGUAACGGAGGAGCACGAAGGUUGGCUAAUCCUGGUCGGACAUCAGGAGGUUAGUGCAAUGGCAUAAGCCAGCUUGACUGCGAGCGUGACGGCGCGAGCAGGUGCGAAAGCAGGUCAUAGUGAUCCGGUGGUUCUGAAUGGAAGGGCCAUCGCUCAACGGAUAAAAGGUACUCCGGGGAUAACAGGCUGAUACCGCCCAAGAGUUCAUAUCGACGGCGGUGUUUGGCACCUCGAUGUCGGCUCAUCACAUCCUGGGGCUGAAGUAGGUCCCAAGGGUAUGGCUGUUCGCCAUUUAAAGUGGUACGCGAGCUGGGUUUAGAACGUCGUGAGACAGUUCGGUCCCUAUCUGCCGUGGGCGCUGGAGAACUGAGGGGGGCUGCUCCUAGUACGAGAGGACCGGAGUGGACGCAUCACUGGUGUUCGGGUUGUCAUGCCAAUGGCACUGCCCGGUAGCUAAAUGCGGAAGAGAUAAGUGCUGAAAGCAUCUAAGCACGAAACUUGCCCCGAGAUGAGUUCUCCCUGACCCUUUAAGGGUCCUGAAGGAACGUUGAAGACGACGACGUUGAUAGGCCGGGUGUGUAAGCGCAGCGAUGCGUUGAGCUAACCGGUACUAAUGAACCGUGAGGCUUAACCUUACAACGCCGAAGGUGUUU